CAUUGCAUUGUGCUGACCGACAAACGUAAGCACGAGACCACCAGUGAUGAAACUGGCUUGGACAAGGAAAACUGGAUCUGAGCCUAACGUUUGUUCAUCAGGAUCUCCUGGAAUCGUUUUGCGAGGUGCGAAAAUACUUUCGUUCAGCAUACUGAAAGGAAAAUCGGCUUUUCUGAGCGCGUCCAUGGAGGGUAUAGAAGGGACAUGCUGAAGAUCUUUGACAAAGAAAGGAGGCGUUUUCUCAUACGGUUUAAUCUUGAAUAUAUUAAAGCUUUUUCCUUCUGAACUUUCGUGAACAACCUGACCAGCUAGCCACGGAAAACUGGCUGACAGACGCUCAAGUCCAUUUGUCAGCGUCUCAAUAAUUGCUGAAUGUGAGGAAUCAUCAUCGACUAUUGGAAAACAAAAGGAUAUCUGGGUAUAGAUUUUAAGUGAUAAUUGCUGUGCUAAAACAUCCGCGAAAUCAUAGUUGUUUCAUCCAUGAUAUUGGUUGCACUAAUAUGUAGUGGGCUGAUAUAGCGUACAUGGGUAUGGUAUGGGUACGACUCUCUGUAGCAGGCUCAAUUAAGCAGCUUGCUUAAGAAAAGGAACUGUAGGGUUUCUCAAUACAUUUUGCCAACUGAAGGACCAUGUAGCAUUGAGUAUUUUUUGUAGGUUACAAGGUAAUCGCGGCAAUGUGAGUUACGUGUUGAAAGAAUUUUGGAGUCGAACUCAAGUCCAGCAGAAAUGUCUAUUUUUAUACAUAUUGGCUCAACCUCCAUCUACACUCAUAUGUUAAAAUGGUUAAACAUAUAACGCACUCAAGCACAUUAGAAUCCAUCAAAAAAACAAUCAAGGGUUACAAGAUGAACGUUUAUGGCUUAAAAAAAACCAUCUCUGCAUCUAACUGCAUCAAGAAUUCUUAACCCAAAUAAUGUACGUCGAGCUAUUAGUAAAAGCCUGUUUUUGUUUAUAGUCUUAAUGUUUAACUAAAAAAGCUGGGUCUCUAGGGAAAAGUAUACUAUUAAAAUCAGCAAAUACGGUAUAUUUUAGAUUUAUAGUCAUGAUUAUUCAAUAAUUCGUUCAAUAUAAAAGGCAUAACAAAGAGUAAUAGGCACUGCUAAUAAUUGUGCAUUUUUUGAAAUAGUCAGAAUCCUC